rnacentral:rRNA from 1 species
CAAAUGACUCUUGGCAACGGAUAUUUUGGCUUUUGCAUUGAUUAAAAACGUAACGAAAUGCCAAACUUGGUGGGAAUUGCAAAAUCCCGUGAACCAUUGAGUCUUUUAACGCCAGGUGCGCCUGAAGCCAUUAAGGUGAGGGCACGUCUGCCUGGGUGGCAAA